rnacentral:rRNA from 1 species
CGGAUUGUAGGCUGCAACUCGCCUACAUGAAGUUGGAAUCGCUAGUAAUCGCGAAUCAGAAUGUCGCGGUGAAUACGUUCCCGGGUCUUGUACACACCGCCCGUCACACCACGAGAGUUUACAACACCCGAAGUCAGUGGCCCAACCGCAAGGAGGGAGCUGCCUAAGGUGGGGUAGAUGAUUGGGGUGAAGUCGUAACAAGGUAAC